rnacentral:rRNA from 1 species
AAAUUGAAGAGUUUGAUCAUGGCUCAGAUUGAACGCUGGCGGCAGGCCUAACACAUGCAAGUCGAACGGUAACAGGAAGCAGCUUGCUGCUUCGCUGACGAGUGGCGGACGGGUGAGUAAUGUCUGGGAAACUGCCUGAUGGAGGGGGAUAACUACUGGAAACGGUAGCUAAUACCGCAUAACGUCGAAAGACCAAAGAGGGGGACCUUCGGGCCUCUUGCCAUCGGAUGUGCCCAGAUGGGAUUAGCUUGUUGGUGGG